AACGCUGGCGGCCGCGCUACACACACGCAAGUUCGAACGAACGAAGCCGGCGCUCGCACCGCGGACUCAUCGGCGAAACGGGUGAGUCAUCCGCGAGUGACCUACUCUUGACUUCCGGGAUAAGCCCGGGAAAACCGGGUUCUAAUACCGGAUACGACCAAUCUCUGCAUCGGGGUCGUUCGGUGGAAAGCGUUAUGGAGUCGGUUUUUAGAUGGGCUCACGGCCUAUCAGCUUGUUGGUGAGGUAAUGGCUUACCAAGGCGACGACGGGUAGCCGGCCUGAGAGGGUGACCGGCCACACUGGGACUGAGACACGGCCCAGACUCCUACGGGAGGCAGCAGUGGGGAAUAUUGCACAAUGGGCGCAAGCCUGAUGCAGCGACGCCGCGUGAGGGAUGACGGCCUUCGGGUUUGUAAACCUCUGUUAGCAUCGAAGAAGCGAAAGUGACGGUAGGUGCAGAGAAAGCGCCGGCUAACUACGUUGCCAGCAGCCGCGGUAAUACGUAGGGCGCGAGCGUUGUCCGGAAUUUAUUGGGCGUAAAGAGCUUGUAGGCGGUUGGUCGCGUCUGCUGUGAAAGGCCGGGGCUUAACUCCGGUUUUGCAGUGGGUACGGGCUAACUAGAGUGCAGUAGGGGAGACUGGAAUUCCUGGUGUAGCGGUGGAAUGCACAGAUAUCAGGAGGAACACCGAUGGCGAAGGCAGGUCUCUGGGCUGUAACUGACGCUGAGAAGCGAAAGCAUGGGGAGCGAACAGGAUUAGAUACCCUGGUAGUCCAUGCCGUAAACGUUGGGCACUAGGUGUGGGGGACAUUCCACGUUUUCCGCGCCGUAGCUAACGCAUUAAGUGCCCCGCCUGGGGAGUACGGCCGCAAGGCUAAAAACUCAAAGGAAUUGACGGGGGCCCGCACAAGCGGCGGAGCAUGCGGAUUAAUUCGAUGCAAACGCGAAGAACCUUACCAAGGCUUGACAUGCAUUAGAAUCGCGUCAGAGAUGGCGUUUCCCUUCGGGGCUGGUGUACAGGUGGUGCAUGGUUGUCGUCAGCUCGUGUCGUGAGAUGUUGGGUUAAGUCCCGCAACGAGCGCAACCCUCGUUCUAUGUUGCCAGCGGUUCGGCCGGGGACUCAUAGGAGACUGCCGGGGUCAAACUCGGAGGAAGGUGGGGAUGACGUCAAAUCAUCAUGCCCCUUAUGUCUUGGGCUUCACGCAUGCUACGAAUGGCCGGUACAGAGGGUUGCGAUACUGUGAGGUGGAGCUAAUCCCUUAAAAGCCGGUCUCAGUUCGGAUUGGGGUCUGCAAACUCGACCCCAUAAAGUCGGAGUCGCUAGUAAUCGCAAAAUCAGCAACGCUGCGGUGAAAUACGUUCCCGAGCCUUGUA
rnacentral:rRNA from 1 species